UUUAUGUAAAAUUACUGAAAAAAGUUGUAUUUAGCAUGUUAAAGGUGAUACAGAGGCCAAAACUGUAAAUACCCACAUCAAAAGACUAUUUUUUUUUUACAAAAAAUGACAACAAAUGUCCAAAAUUUCCAAAAUGUUUGAAGAUGUUUACUGGAUGUUUAUUAGAUGUUUACUGGUUAUUUACUAGAUGUUUACUGGUUAUUUACUGGAUGUUUAUUGGAUGUUUACUGGAUAUUUACUGGGACUAACACUAAUGUUUACUAGAUAUUUACUGGAUGUUUACUGGAUGUUUACUGAAUCUUUUUGGGAUCUUUACUGGGUGCUUCCUGGAUGUUUGCUGGAUGUUUACUAAAUGUCUACUAGAUGUUUACCAGAUAUUUACUGGAUGUGACUGGAUGGGACUAACACUAAUGUUUCCUGGAUAUUUAUUAGAUGUUUCCUGGAUGUUUCCUGGUUAUUUACUGGUUAUUUACUGGAUGUUUACUGGGACUAACACUAAUGUUUCCUGGAUGUUUACUGCUCCUAAUGCUCUUGUUUACACCCACUCAGGACGUUAACAGCCGUAUUGCGUGUGCAGCAACACGUCUCUUUGUUUGCGUGUUCUCCUGGCAUAUUUACAUGCGACACGCAGGAGGCGGUUUGAUGUGCAGAACAUGUUUAAUAUUCCAUCACACGGCAGCAGAGGGAGGCUCAGGAGACGCUAAAGAGCCGAAACAACAAAAGGUUUGGAGGUACCGGAGAGCGUCUGCUGGAGCUUCUGUCUGCUAGCAUCACAUCCACCAGACGCAUUACCGUCUGAACGUUAAAUAUUUAACACUCUGCUGCUGCUGCUGGAGCUCAACACGAACACAAACCAGACGGACCAGACGGACACCUCAACCACAGACAGCAGAGGUCCCAUGGACCCACCCACCAAUCAUCGGCCUCCAGAGAAUCCAACCAGACGUUUACAUGAAGCCGUCUGGAGGCCAAGGCUGCAAGUCAGACAAAGAGCUGUGAGGUGUAAACGUCAGAGCAUCUCACUCAGAUCUGCUGCUGAAGAAUCGACCUGGAGGAGGAAAGAAAAAUAACGAGGAGGAGAAAAUGUCAGGAGACCAGCCCUCAGAACAUCUGGACCUGACUCCAGAUGUUUCUAUGAUCCAUCGUCAUGUGGAGGAUCGUCAUGGUGACCAGAGGAGGGUCUGUGGUUACCGUGGUUACCACCCAGAUGUGUUCUGUCACGUUUUUACUCACCGUGGAAUCCUUUCUACUGGAACAUUCAGUCCUGUCUUAGUUUAGACUAAGUCUGGAGAUGUUCAUGUCAUUAAGGACACAUUUAAGUCCUUCUGGACAAAUUUUGAAUCAUUUUAGACAAUUUCUCAUCAUUCUGGACAACCUUGCUUUCCAUCUUUAACAUUAACGGGGUUGUUUUUACUCACUGUGGAAUCGUUUUUACUGGAAUAUAAAGUCCUGCUUUCAUUUUGGCCA